UGGGGAAUUUUGGACAAUGGGCGCAAGCCUGGUCCAGCAAUGCCGCGUGCAGGAUGAAGGCCUUCGGGUUGUAAACUGCUUUUGUACGGAACGAAACGGCUCUGGUUAAUACCUGGGGCUAAUGACGGUACCGUAAGAAUAAGCACCGGCUAACUACGUGCCAGCAGCCGCGGUAAUACGUAGGGUGCGAGCGUUAAUCGGAAUUACUGGGCGUGAAGCGUGCGCAGGCGGUUUAGUAAGACAGGCGUGAAAUCCCCGGGCUCAACCUGGGAACUGCGCUUGUGACUGCUAAGCUAGAGUACGGCAGAGGGAGGUGGAAUUCCGCGUGUAGCAGUGAAAUGCGUAGAUAUGCGGAGGAACACCGAUGGCGAAGGCAGCCUCCUGGGCCAGUACUGACGCUCAUGCACGAAAGCGUGGGGAGCAAACA
rnacentral:rRNA from 1 species